UCAUAUCACGUUGAAACACCGGUUCUCGUAAGAUCACCGAAGUUAAACCUGGUCAGUAUCUAGAUGUGUGACCGCUUUGGAAUACCAAGUGCUGUAAG